rnacentral:rRNA from 1 species
UACGUAGGGUGCAAGCGUUGUCCGGAAUUAUUGGGCGUAAAGAGCUCGUAGGCGGUUUGUCACGUCUGCUGUGAAAACUCGGGGCUUAACUCCGGGCCUGCAGUGGGUACGGGCAGACUAGAGUGCGGUAGGGGAGACUGGAAUUCCUGGUGUAGCGGUGAAAUGCGCAGAUAUCAGGAAGAACACCAAUGGCGAAAGCAGCUCUCUGGGACGGUACUGACGCUGAGACGCGAAAGCGUGGGGAGCAAACAGG